AUCGACCUUGCCGUCCGCCGUCGUCGCCUCUCCAUCGUCUGCGCCUCCGUCCAUCUUCGCCAUUUCUGUUUCGUCUUCUUCAUUUCUGAUUCAUCUAGACCAAAUAUGAUUACCCUUAUGGGAUUCAUGUUCUUGGUCAUAUCUACAUUGCAUAGCUAUGGCCACGUGGAGAAGAAGGAUUCAUGUAGCCGACCCCAUUUGAUGGGACUUAAGGCUUGGUUUGGUUUGGUUUAUUUACUGUGUUUGAGUUUUAAAGUAGUUGCAAAAUAUCUUGACUGACGAUUUUCUUUGAUAAGUGUCCCUUUCAUUAUUUUCACAUGUAAGUGUUGCAGAUAUAUUCACUUCGCCUGGAUUCAAUUCCUCCUAGAUGGGUCCUUUUUGCACAUGGGUUGCUUCUCUUCUUAUAUCAGGUGCUGAUUGGUGGGCUCAACCUUUUGGGAAGUCUCUGCCAUUUCUGAGCUGGGUUCCGUUGAUAAAUGCGUGUACAAUGUUUGUAAGGUUGUUCAGGCGAGGAAAGGAAGCAUGCUACUGGCGUUGGCAAUGCUUUACCUGUUUGUUGUGCUUGUGGGAGGAGUCCUGAUAUGGAUUAUUUGUCAAUAUGGUGGUCUGCAUGAUCUGUCUGGCUUCAGAAAGAUCCUCUGCUGAUCUGUCUGGAUGGUCUGCAUGAUCUGUCUGGCUUCAGUGUGUGCUCCAGAUCUGUCUGGCUUUUUUCUGAUCUGUCAAUCAUCUUGAUUUGUCUGGAUGCUUUUUUUUGGAGUAAAUUGGUGGUCUAUAUUGUGAAAUUAGAAAUUUUCACAAGUUUGGUUCGAGAAAAUGUCGAAUUUUGCGAAUUUCUCAAAUUGAGAAACUUAAUAAAUUACAAUGUUUCAGAAAUUGCAAAAGUGCACACUUUCUGUAUAGAAAUUUCCAAGUCUUCUUGAUUUUUAAAUAUUGUGAAAUUUCUAAAUUUCUAAUGCUACACAUUAGAAACUCUCCCAAAAAUACAUUACAAAUGAUCAUCAUAGUUUGUGGGCCUUAUUAAAGAUAAUAUAGUACUGAGAACACCAUACAUUCUGUUGAAUGUCAAUUUUAGUGUUUUUAUUUAUUUUGAUGGAAUAUGAUCUUCAGUUGGUGAUGUCAAAUGGCGGCUUUAUAGAAGAUAGAAUACAAAUUAAUAGUCAACUAUAUAUGGUGGUGACUAUCAAUACCAAUUUAUAGUUUGUAUUUAUAUUAAUCAUCGAUGUAUAAAAUUUAUUAGAGAGCUGCUAUAAAUUAUUUUUUGUUUUGAACAUUUUUUUAUAUCACUGAUCAAUACAUGCAUGAUAAAUAUAAUAUCAUAUAUUAGUAUUUGCUUUUUCUAAUACUUACCUCUAAAUAAAAACGAUUAGAAAUAAAACUACCCAAUAGUCACAAACUUAACUUUUUUUCAAGUAUAUAAAGAUCCGUUUUAAAAGUAGACUGCCUACCUCCCCUUUGAGGAGUGAAUUGGUUGGGUUAGUCAAUCGAAUUAUAUUCUGGGUAGUCAAGUGCCACACCCCUUAUCCGAUAUUCAGUCAUGGGCAUCUCCCUUUGCCUCUGAACCGAUAUUGCAAUGUAAUGAAUCAUGUUCAUCAUCCAUGCAUUCAUUAUAUAUCAAUCUAGAUAUAUAGAUUAACAAAAGAUAGAUACUUCUUUUUUCUUAUUUUUUUUCCUUUGGUGGUCUGCAUGAAUGUUUGUGUAACACUGUGGCAGCAGUGUAACACUCGUUUCAUCACAACAUGACAUAUUAGGAGCCUUCAGAAGCCUUGGCAAUAUGGGUUUCAUCAGAAGGCUUCUGAAAAGCUGUUUUAUCACAUAGCAGCACACACCGCUGGGGUACUGAUUAUGGUUGGUUCUGGAUUGAAAUUUAAUUCACAUGAAAGGUUCAUUGAAGGGCAUAGGAGUUAUUGACAAUAUGAAUCAAUUUCAGUUGCCAUGUUGGUUUCUGCUAUGUGGCACUAUAUUGGAUCUGGAAUGGUGGAGGUUUCAAUUUAUUCUAUAGACAUAAGAAUGCUAUUGUUUUAUUUACAAUUUGAUAAUGAUAGUAAUAUAAUUUGCUAAUGUGACCUUUGCUUUUCAUGGACAUUUUUCAUUAUUU